rnacentral:rRNA from 1 species
AAGACGUGCGCAGGCGGUUAUGUAAGACAGAUGUGAAAUCCCCGGGCUCAACCUGGGAACUGCAUUUGUGACUGCAUGGCUAGAGUACGGUAGAGGGGGAUGGAAUUCCGCGUGUAGCAGUGAAAUGCGUAGAUAUGCGGAGGAACACCGAUGGCGAAGGCAAUCCCCUGGACCUGUACUGACGCUCAUGCACGAAAGCGUGGGGAGCAAACAGGAUUAGAUACCCGUGU